GUCACUUCAUCAACAAAUUGAACAAUGAUGCUGGUGAUAUCGAUAAUAAUAAUGACGAGAAAGUUUAUUGUUAAAUCUAAACAAGAAUCACACAAAGUUAUCAGCUUCACCAUGUUUUCAAAAGCAGGGUAUAAUAAGAUAAAAAUACAUGAAUGAAAACCAUAUUUGCUCCGUUCUCCUUUUGAAUUAUCUCCCCUAUUUACUUAGAUCAGAGAUUGAUUGAUUGUUUGUUGGUUGCUUAACGUCCAGUGGCAAAUAUUUCAUGCAUGUUCAGGACGAUCGGAGAGAGCAGAGACUAUUUUAAAGCAUUAUUUAUUAACUAAUACUAUACAGAUGUAGUUCAAAAUUUUUGUUAAUGAAUAACUAAGUCUGCUAAGAACUGAAGUGUCUCCUAUUAUGUACCUGCAUUAUCUGGACUGUACAGGGAAAAUGAUAUUUCAUUUAUCUUACGGUCCAACGUGCCACAGUAUGAAGCAUUACUAUAUAGUAUAUAUUAAGCACUGAACAUUAUCAGCUAUAAUUUAGAGCCAGUGCCAAAAUGUAGUAGCCUGUGCUACUUAUUUUCUUAACCCUUGCAUUUACAUGGUAAACUUCUGUUACCUUUGUACAUUUUUGUACCUAACUAAUAUUUGUACAAUUAUCUCCUAAAAUUCUCAUACAGUGUAUUACUUUAGGAUUCAAAAAGUAUAAUUUCAAGAUUUUAGCAGAAUGAUCAAAGGAUAGUUAUAAAAAGACUUGCUGUAUAUUAGAUGACUGGCCAUGACAACUGCAUGACAUCCUCUCUUCAACAUAAGUAAUCACAAGUAUCAUAGCUUUUGUGAAGUAGGAUUUCACACUGACAUGAUGUAAAGGAUCAAAUCAAAUUAAAAAAACAACAUUGUGUACUACAAAACACAUAGCAUAUUGAUACAUGUAUCUACAAUAUCAUAUUUAAUUGCAGGUAACCUGAUAAUGAUACAUUAGACGAAGAAGAUGUGACUUGGUUUCAGAUGUGGUACUGUACAUAGCUGUUUGGGUAACAUAGAUGGUAGACAUCACUCAAUGUUGUGUUACAAUAGCCAUGGUCUUCUUGGUAUGCACAUAUUAUAGUCGUAUCAUAUUCUGUGAUUUUAGCUAGGGUGCACUGUAUAUUUUUAUGUCUAUAUAUAAUAUACAUAAAUGUGUUCUUGCUUUGAUAUUGUUUGUUGUGAUCUGCAUGGUUGUGAUAUAUGUAAUGCAUUGUUAAGAAGUAUAAUGUUUAAAUAACAAAACUAAGUUUCAUUUGAAAUAUAUCUUGUCUUGGCUUUGAAUAACCAAAUACUUACCAAAAUAAUGCAUUAAAAUUUUGUUUCUUUUUUAAUUCUAAAUUCCUUGGUAGUAUGAUUGAGGCAAUACCAAGUCUUAUUUAGGCCAUGGAAAGGCUGCUUCUAGAGAGCUUUUUAAUUACAACCAUACAAUAUCCAAAUGUAUGGCUGAAGGGAAUUAACUCUAACUUUUUAGCUGUCAAUUAUUUUCAAUUUCUCAAAACUCAGAGUGAACAAGCUUCUUUCAGAUUAUAUGUAACACAAAUUUAUGUCCUUAAGUUCAAUUAAUAAUCAUUAAAUCUUCUGAAUAAGAUCAACACUAUGACAAGAUUUUUCAUCACAAAUCUUAAGUUAAUGUUUGCACUGAGCCAGUGAAGCUGUGGAAAUGUAAAACUUGGUUCAAUAACAAAAUGGCAUAUAGAGUGAUUUAUUUAUUCAUGAUUAGAUUUGUUGAGGAUGCACAUCAGUAGACAAUCUUAUUAAAUUCCACUAAAUUAUCUAACUAAAUAACAAUGCUUUUCUAUCAUUACUUUACAUCAGUUUAGCUUUUCCACACCUUUUGUCUAGAUGGUAUUUUCAAGAUAAAUAAACAUGCAUGUUUAUCGUCAGCCAAUUUUCUGUUUAAUGUUGUAUAAAAUAAAUCAGGUAGGUGUUGGUAAGUACAUAAAUCCUUUAUGUCGUAAGUUUGUUGUUUGGUUUAAAUGUUUUACAAAUUAUAUUAAUUGUUAUACUGUGGAUUCAUUGAUGAUCAUAAAUAUAUUAGUUAUAUACCAAUUUUUGUGGGAAGAGGGGAAUGACCAAUUUAAAUGAUUAAGGAAUUGUAAAUUUUCUUAAGGAAUGUAUGCAGACUGCGCCAAACCACGAAAAUUGAAACCCACAAAAAUAAAAGAAUCCACAGUAUAGUAUAUAUAUUCUUAAAAGGGAGAUUUUGAAGAAGUGAAUAGAUUAAUAUAUUAAGCAUUGAUUUAUUUUACCCUUUAAUUUUUAACCUGAAAUCAGUUGGACAAGAAAUUUGGAGAAGAGACUGAAAGAUAUGUAACCUUAAGUUUACAUGACAAAGAAAUUUAUUUUUUUAUAAGAUGAACACUUGAAAUCACCUUUCGGAACUAUUUAUUUUAUCCAAAAAAAAAAUAUAGAAAAAUUUAUAAUAAGUAAUGGAACAGACGGUGGAAAUUAGGUUGUUAAGUUGAAUCAUUUUUCAAUAUUUCGAGAAGUUAAUGGACCAUAAACUAUGACAAUGUUACGAAAUGAUUUUGGAUAUUAAAAUGAAAGCAUACCAUUAUACUUCCUUUAUGCUUUACAAUUCAUGAACAAACCUUUGAUACUAAUGUACUAAGGUAUAAACAACAGAACUAAAACUUUCAUAAUUUUUCAAGUAAAUAAAAUAACUUCCCAUGUGCUUUCUGAAUUGCCAUGUAUCCUAGAAGGUAUUAUCUAAAUAGAAAGAAUUCUGAGGUUUCAAUUUUUAAAAUUAUAGACAUUAAUCCACUACACUAACCUUACAAUAUAACCAAACAAAACACAGGUCAAAAUAUGAAUUUUGUUUGAUGAAAAUAAAUAUUAAAACUGAAUUUUAAUUUUAUUUGUGUAGAUUAUGUCAGCAAUUUUUUUAGGAGUUUGUACAUGAACUAAGUGUUAAUUUUGUUUCUUAAAUCAAAUUUGCAUUACAGAGAGGUCUAGAGUGCUUUAAAUUAACUUCUGCAUUUUUUUUUAAUGAAAAUCUGAAAGUUUCUUUUCAUGGUGGAAACCCAUCUCAUACAUGCUCCUUUGUUUUUACAAAAGUAUCUAGACAAAUUAAAAAAAAAAACUAUCAGUAGUAAAUUGUCUGUAUGGUAGUAUUAGUUUCAUGCCCUAUAACAUUUUAAGUUGUUAGCAAUGUUCUUAUCCUUAAAAAAUUAUUGGUCUCUUAUCUCCAGCAGACUUCCUUGUGUUGUCUCAUCUAUGAAAAUUUAAUGAGCAUUUACCGGUAAAACACAUAAAAUAAAACACCACAAAUAAUUCUUGAUUAGAAAAGGGGUGUGGCUUAAUUGACAUAAUUAAAUUCUGUUUCAUGUUCAACACACUAAAUUUAUACAAUUCCUCAAAUCUAGGUUUUAUCUCAUGAAAUAUUAACAGUAAAUUAAGCUAGUCACAUAAACUUAAUUGUAAAUUUGUUGAGAAAACCUAGAGUUAUUUCCCCUUCAGUGAUAAAUUUUAAUGUCAAAUCUUAACAGCAGUUAAAAUGAGAAGUUUAAAGUAAUUUCCUGCAGACCAUUAAACUACAGUUUUGUUUAAAAGCAGUAAUAAUUUUGUCAUUAAAGGUUUUAAAGCACACUAAAAUACAGUAUUUUAUUAUCAUGUUUAGUUGAGCAGGGAAGUUUCCAAAAGAUGUAUGCUAUAAAUGUUUACAGUUAAACCUUGAGAAAAUAGUAAAUACUAAGAAGUCUAUUUAAUGGUCUGUUAAAUUUUAAGAGGCUUAUCAAACAUGAUUAACAUUAGUUUAUGAUUUGUUUUAAUGCUUUAUUAUUGGUUUGAUAUUAUUUUGUCCUAAAUCUGUUCAAUGCAUGUUAUAUUCAACCCCAGAGUCAAGGAAAUUGUUUUAUGCAAGAAAGAACUAAGUCUAUCCAUCAGUAAGAUAUGAAAACAACAAAAAAGAUAUAUUUUUGCUCUGGAUAAUAACUUUGAUAUAGUAAGAUGCUUCUGUCUAAGUUUCUUCUAAAUAUUCUUAAUAAUUUUAUAGAUGUCUUUAAUAACUUUAACCGCAGGUUGUUCCUUAGUGAUGAUAUUCUUUUUUAAUAUAAGUUCAUUUAUAUGUUUUGGAGUUUAGUAUGAAGUCCAUUUUCACUGAACAGGUACACAUUUUUAUUUGGGGGCCAGCUGAGGCCUUCCUCAAUGUUCGUAGUUUUCUUGCUGAAUUGAAGACCCAUUGGUGUCCUUCAGAUGUUUUCUGCUCUUUGGUCAGGUUGUUGUUUCUUUGACACAUUCCCCAUUUCCAUUCUCAAUUUUAAUGAUAUGUCUGUUUGCUAUGUCCUUGUCACUUCAGAGAAAAAUAAUUAUCUUAUACUAAAAUUAAUUCAUAUUCAAUUAAAUUAAUUUAAAAAUGAACUAACAGCAAAUUGUACUAUAAUGAAAUAAAUUUCUGAAAUGAAUUAUGAAUUUUUGCAACAUUUCUUGCUCAUUUCAAAUUUUAAAAUAGCUAUUUCCACUUCAAUUCUGUUGCUUAUUUUCAUUUUAAUUAUGAGAUAUCCUCACUUUCUUGGGUAAUUCAUGAAACAAACAUUAGGAUAAAAGAAAUGAAGAAACCUCUUUGAGUUUCAUGAAAGUAUUAACAACUGAUUUCAAUGUUAAAUGUAGUAUAAAUGAGAAUUUGUAUACGAUAAAAACAAAUGGGUUCAUUUCUGUUUCUCGGCACAAUUAUCACAUUAUUUUUGUAUUUGUUAAAAAUAUCAAAUCUUGGGGCUUGAAGAAAUUGUUUCCAAAAAUGUUAUGGGUAUGUUGUAGAAAAUGGGAAUAGUAUUGGAUUUUGGGGUCUCAUUUAAAAGAUAUUUUAAAAUAUCAAAACCAAUGUAAGUUUUAUGGUAAAAUCAGAUUUUCAAAAGUCAUCUUAUAACCACAAGGUCAAGCACUUGCAUGAAAGACCAAUUUUAUUUAAGACCUUUAUUCUCCACAUCUGUGUUCUGACAGUCAAGAAGAGCCAAUUAGAAGUUCAAUGUAGUGCUCACCUUUUGAAGUCUGAUAUAUCAAGCAAGGCUGUCAUUUCCAGGAUGAGGAAAGAGAAUUAUUAAAAUGUGUUAACAAGUGAAAUAUAGACUAAGGCUCUGUGAAUGCAUACUUUGACUUAAAAUGGUUUACUUUUUACAAAUUGUGACAAUGGAUGGAGAGUUCUCUCAUAAAGUGGCACUCAUACAACACCUCUUUGUAUCUAUAAAUAUGUUUUUUACAUCCUGAUGUCCAAGUAUGAAUGUGAGAACAGUAUAGAAAAUCUUCACCUGUUUGUCCAUAUGUCCCUAAAUGAUUAUGCUUUAUAUUAUGUUAUUCCCAACAGUUGUAAUAAAUCAUUUUUGUAACAAUUUGGUCACUAUGACUUACAUUUGACACUUGAUAAAAAAAAUUUUCAAUGAAGAAGGAUGCUUAGAAAUUUUACUUAGUAUGUCAGAGUUUCAAAGAUAUUCCACUAUCAAAAUCCAUUUACACAAUACAACACGAACAAAAAACUUGGGUUAUCAUGACCUAUAUUAUUAGCUUGAGUGACUAAACUUGGUUUAUAUUAAUUUGUCUUUAUAUCUAUCUUUACCAAACCUAUAAUGGACUGGUAUAUUGUGAAGUUGAGUCAUAUAGAGAAGCCAAUAUACUCUCAACAUUUUGAACUCUAUGACUUUGAUAUAAUGCUUGCACAACUUAUAUCAAGGUUCACAUUUGGUUUGUGGUAAUAGGGGACAUUUUAACACAUUUUUUCUUAUAUUUAACUGUUCUUUUACAUUUUCUGCAACACUGCCAUUAUUUCAUACUAUUUUCUAGAUUUAAUUUUGAGUAUGCUUACAUUUUAAUUUUACCCAGAGCUCAAACAAUUUUCCAGUGAAAUUCAGUCUUCUAUAAUAUCCGUAAUAACGGGUGUGAAUAAUUAUUUUUGUUAGUUGAUUGUUAUUGUUUACAGUCUGUGAAGUGAGUAACAGUAAAGAUACAGAAUUUUAUGAGGUAAGAUUAUCUUUAUCACGUGUUUGUAACUUAUCUGAAGAGUAUUUCUUGUGCUAUCACCGCAACAAAAUAGCUUUCUCUAGAAUCUUUUGGAGAAAAAAAACAAACUUGAUAAAAUAACAAAGUAUUUCAUAUUGUAUACUUAUACCCCCGCUUUAAAUAAAGGGGGUAUACUGUUUUACCUCGGUCUGUCCUUCCAUCCAUUCGUCAGUUCAUCCGUCAGUCCGUCCGUCCCAUGAAUAUUUUUCGUCACAAUUUUCCAAUGCUAUACCCUGUGAUGCGUUUUCAGAUUCAUCACUCGACAACUUCCUGUUUACCGAACACUUGUAUCAUUUUACACAUGAUGACCAAGUUCAACAUUUUCGUCACAUUUUUCUCAGGAACUACAAUACAAGGAUUUCUGAAAUUUGGUUUCAGAGUUUAUAUAUGUCAGCUAUAUCUUGUAAUGUGUUUUUAGAUUCAUCACUUGACAUCUUCCUGUUUACCGAACACUUCACAUAUUUUUACACUAUUAACAUUAUCCACUUGCGGCGGAGGUAUCAUAAGUGGGCAGUAGCUUGCAGUUACUCUUGUUUUAACCUAAUUUGAGCCCACCAAUUUCCCAACAUAUAAGAAUCAUAUUUGUUGACCCAAUUGUGGUCUUUCAAAUUAAUACUUCUGAUAUCCAAAAAAAAAGAAAAAAAAAGAAGGUGUCGUUGAUCUCAUUUUCAGUGUUCGAUAACUUACUUAUUGAUCAUUAAGUUUCUUGAUGGGAAAGUUUUGCAACUAUAUGUACUAUGAUAGAUAUAAGAAGAUGUGGUAUGAGUGCCAAUGAGACAAUUGAGGCAUUGAGGCUUGACUCACCAUGCCCGGCAAGCUAUUAAGGGCCCCAAAAAAUGACUAGUGUAAAACCAUUCAAAAAACAAAAACCAAUGGUCCACUCUAUUUAAUAAAUAAGGAAUGAGAAACGCCUAUGAAUCACAUCAACAAACAACAACUACUGAACAUCAGAUUCCUGACUUAGGACUGCAUGGUUCAAACAAAUGCAGCAGGUUUAAAUGUUAUAUAAGUAUAUUUCACUUGAAAAAACUACUUUAUGGUUUGUUUUCUCUCGUUGUCAGAGUUUUGUUCUUUGUUCGUUGAUCAGUGUUAAGUUCUCUUUUAAUACAUGUAGUUAAAGACCCUUAUUUCAAAAUAGAAUUAUUUAUUUAUAAUCAUGCAGGCAAGACAUUUCAGAAUGUCACCUCUUGUCAAACUGUUCAAUUAAUAUGAAUAAAAGGAGAUGUGAGGUAUACAAUUAAUGUGAAUAAAAGUAGGAUAUUGUAUUGGUUAUUGUGACAGCCAUACAACAACAAAAUCAUACUAAGUAUACAUUUGAUGAAAGAUUGAUGAAAUUUCAAUACAAAUUUUCAUUUCAUCUUCUCAUUUGCCUCUUUUCCCAGGUUUGUUUGUCUGUCUGAAAUACAUAUUUGAUACUCGGAGUCGCAGCUGUUUUAUACUUAUUUGACCAAUUUGUGAUCUAAUUGUAUUAGUUGAUGUAAGCUAGGAGUUCCCAGUAGGAAAAUACACCUAAUGGCAAUGCCUUCAUUAUAAAACUUGAAAGAAUAUCUGUUUUAUUAAGUUAGCAAUGAUAUACAUGAGACUUUUCAUUAAAGAAAUUGUUAAAAAAGUCGGGUUGGUUAUUGUUAAGUCUAACCAAUCAAUGCUUAUUUGUCAAUUAUAGACAUGUUUUUAUAUCUCUUAUGGACAUUUUCUCAUCUUGAUGACAUUCUAACCUUAUCAUUAUUCCCCAUUGAUGUCGUUUUUAUUCACGUUUAUCUGUUCCCUAGUAUAAAAUCAAAUUUGGUAAUCUACUAGAUUUCACUAUACUGUCUUGUUUAGUGUCAUUCAACUUGGGAUUCAAUUUUCUUCAUUUUUCUCCCGGUGGCCACUGGAAUAGUGUCAUGCAUUUGAAGGAGUUAAUUUCUUUAUUUGGAAACGUUUAGUUGCAUAUUGGUUAGAAAGGAAAUAACAAAAUACUUGGAACGUUGAUUGACGAUGAAAGUUUGCAUUGGCUUAGAUUAGGUCGUGUAAUGUCUUUUUAUCAGCGUUAGCAAUCUUUAUCAAUUAUUGACGAACAAUAGAAUCGUAUCGUUUGAUAUCGUCAGUACAAUCAAGUCUCAUUUUUACUACAUUGGAAUGCAGUGAUGUGAACGAGAGCUGAUUUACUGUGAGAGGAUUGUUUUUAAAAGUGAUUAAGAUUUCUUCAUCCUUGAACGAUUUUUUAACCUUAUAUAAUUGUUACAGAUAAUGGCGUUAGGAUUCUAGCAGAGAAGAAGAAGGAAAAAAAAAA
rnacentral:lncRNA from 1 species